rnacentral:rRNA from 1 species
AUUGAACGCUGGCGGCAGGCCUAACACAUGCAAGUCGAACGGUAACAGGAAGCAGCUUGCUGCUUCGCUGACGAGUGGCGGACGGGUGAGUAAUGUCUGGGAAACUGCCUGAUGGAGGGGGAUAACUACUGGAAACGGUAGCUAAUACCGCAUAACGUCGCAAGACCAAAGAGGGGGACCUUCGGGCCUCUUGCCAUCGGAUGUGCCCGGAUGGGAUUAGCUAGUAGGUGGGGUAACGGCUCACCUAGGCGACGAUCCCUAGCUGGUCUGAGAGGAUGACCAGCCACACUGGAACUGAGACACGGUCCAGACUCCUACGGGAGGCAGCAGUGGGGAAUAUUGCACAAUGGGCGCAAGCCUGAUGCAGCCAUGCCGCGUGUAUGAAGAGGGCCUUCGGGUUGUAAAGUACUUUCAGCGGGGAGGAAGGCGAUAAGGUUAAUAACCUUGUCGAUUGACGUUACCCGCAGAAUAAGCACCGGCUAACUCUGUGCCAGCCGCCGCAGUAA